ensembl:lncRNA
UGUUUGGUGUAACCGUAAAACUGCUGUCGUUUAAGAUGUAUCCGUUAGCUAGCUUAGUUGAGAUAUUUAGCACUGCCGUGUUGUUCUGACUGAACGGCCGCUUGUUUGUUUAUUAAUGACAAAUAUGAAGUCUUGUUGAAAGUGUGUCAGCUUGCAAGGGUGUGUGUGUGUGUGUGUGUGUGUGUGUGUCGCACAACAUGGCGGCAGCAGUGAAGUGUGUCAGCCCGCUGCUCCAUUGACCCACUUCUGUCUGUGAGGAUUAAUCUCACACAGGGAAACUGGGCAAAUCGAUAAACAAGAGCACACUGUUAUCCACUGCUCUGUCUAUUCUGAGCACAAAAAAUGUUGUGCCGGAAGUGACAAAGCCUCAUUGUGGAUGGAUAUUGGAACAAAAAAAAAAGAAAAGGAAAAAGUUUUGCACAGAAAAUAAGUCGGUCGGAAGAAACAGCGGCCUCUAUGGCGGAAGAGUGUUAUUACCACCGUGGGUCAAUAUGACGCGAGCGCAAGGGUCACAGAGUCCACCUCAGUGAGGUGAGGUGAUUUCACCGAGCUAGUAUACAUGGUAAUCGGGGGAGGGGGUGGGGUAUAAGCCGGAUUUACCCUGUGGGAUUAUCAGCCUCGAUUUUGUUGUCACACACAGAAAUCGCACGUCGUAAAAGACCCAUUCAGUGUCGCCGCAAAACCAAGAGAUCUCAGACUCAUGGGACAGCGACGAAUACAAUUACAAAUGCAAAUGAAUCACAUUCGUUAAUAUAACUUCACCGGCCAGCAUGCUCGGGUCCCUUGUACGAUGAGUUAGUUGCAAAGCUAUCGUGCGUGCUAACGGACAGAAAGAAAGGUCGUUAAUACCUCAAGCGCACUUGAAGAAUGGACAAUCCAAGGUUUUGUCUUUCCCCCAGCCACGAACGACUCCAAACUUGUCGUCUUUUCCUUUCAAAAGUGUUUCCGCCCGGCUACUUUCAUACAGAGGCCCGACGUUGUUCAUAUUUCUGCUUGAGCCUGGAUUGCGCCGAUGAAUCGUAGGUCUAUCGUUAGAGGAUCUUCACCCUAUAACCUGACUUGGAGAACACACGUUCACACACAGUCUGAUAUCGGAUUUAACCAAGAUUUUUAUUGGCAUCGUGUCGUACGGUGUGACGAGUAACAGUCGUAAACUUUCGCCAAGGUGAAUCCUUUGAACUUCAAAGUGUCGUAGCUAAUUUGCACAGAAGAGAGAGAAUCUCAAUUCAGGUGUCGGUUGAUGUCGCGUGCAGACGUCUUGGCUAUGAGACAUGCAUGUACAGUAUCGACUCUAGAAAAUGAGCUGUCGUGUCGCCACUUGCUAGCGUGAAUUGAGAAUGUGAAAGCAAACUUCAGACACGACACGUCUUGGCUGAGUUUCCACGUACUCCCGUCCAUGUUGAAUUACCGCACUUAUAUUCGAGGACAUGAAACUGUAGCUGCACAGAACCGUCUUGGACGCUUGUAUACGUUUCGGUAGCCUCGAGGAGCUCGUGUAACUGUCCAUCAGAGUGAGAAUCUUAAUCUUCGAUAGUCGGAGUUGUCGUUUCCAACAAAACGACUCCAGAUUCCAGUGAACAAGUCAUUUUCACCAGCCAGUAUUUCAGCACCGAUGAUAAUGCUACUGAUUUAUUUAGAACCUUUUCAAAAACCAUGGAUAUCCCCCCCCCCCACCCCACCCCACCCCACCCCACCCCAAAGUUAAUAACAAAAGCAGUACAACCUGAGACAAAUGUAAACCAAACCUUGAUCUUUAUUAAAUAUUAACGCCUUUCUAUAUGGCUGCGUGAUUAAGGAUCUGGGCUACUGAUUGGAAGGUUCCGAGUUCAAAUCCCAGCAUGCUCCUUGAGUGAGGAACUUAACCUUCAAGUACUUGGUUGUAUGCUCUUUGGAUCAAAGCAUCACUCAGACGAAAUCAAUAAAUGUAAACUUAACUACUGCUAGCUAGACAAAAUCGUUUUCAACAUUCCUGUGUCUUUUCCCGUUGAAACUCCAAAUGUUUUUUUGUUUUUUUUUCUCCAUUCAGCCUGACCACUCCUUAACAAAAACAAAAGGCCAUCUGUAAUGCUUUAAUUAUUUUACAUAAUUAUUCAAGCUUCACAUUUAUAAACCAGUUCUUGGUCAGGCACAUUUCUUUCUGAGAGGAUUGUGGAUAUUAUAGGUAUUACGACAUUAAGCAGACUGAUAGCAAAUAUGUUAAUAUAUAUAUAUAAAAAAAAUUUUUAUGUUGUUUUUAUUUUUGUCUUGUUCCAGUUUAAAUCGUUUAUUUUCAUCAAAUAUUUUACAGAGUUUUUUUUUAUGCGAGUUCUCUGGUUUGCAGGCGAUUUUAAAAUCUAUCUAGUUAGUUAUGAAUUUCGAGAGUUAAGAAACGCCCGAUGUUUCAGUAUGUAAUUAAACUAGGCAGUGUUUGGGAUUGCGAUGAUAAUUGUACAUCAGUUUUUUAUCUUUCUAGCUAUCUAGCUAGUGCAGGAGUUAAGAAACGCCCGAAGUCUCAGUAUGUAAUUAAACUAGGCAGUGUUUGUGCUUGGGACCGAGCUGAUAAUUGUAAUAAAUAUGUUCUUAUAGCCGCAUUGUUCUGAGCGGUUUGGUCUUGAGCAGUGUUCCGUGUGUAAUUGGACUAAACCAUUCUGCUCCUUCUUCUCUUUUACAAACCCACGCUUAAGGACAAAGGGCUCGACUUAAAGAUACGGGCCCCUGUGUUAAUGUUUUAUGAGCGAGUACAGCGUGGACGGAUACCGACUCGUCCUCGGGCCGCCUGGGGCUCGGCUGCCGCUCUUCCUCCCUCGUCUCGCCACCGUCAUGGUUGGUCCCGGUGAACAGAUUAGACAUUUUAAGGUGUGGGGUGCUCUGAGCAAUUCAUGUUGUGAUCGAAAUGAACAUUUUCAGAGCAUCGCGGUUUUUCCCGUUCUCGGAGGACGACCCGCGAGACGAUCAGUUACACAAACCGCCAGAGCUGUUGAGAGUAUCCUAGUAGAAAUAUCUCGCAUAUACGAAACAAAGUGCCUCACUUACAAACGAUGCGUACGGUCGAUUUGUAAAGUCGUUAUUUGUACCCGUGUCCCACGUUUCACUCUCGACGUAUACCGUCACACUGUCGCACUAGCGAUGCCCGUGUAGCGACCCUUCCUAACCAACGCUUCCCGUGCUCGUAGUUAGAUUCUUGUUUAUAUAUGAAAAAAAUUGUGUGCAGAUUCUCUCUCUACAAGCCUAAAUAGGUUUAGAACAGAAAUAAAUACCUUGACACAUUAUUAAAGUAAAAGCUUAUGUAUAGAUAAUAACUAGAAAGAAACACCUGAAAUGAGUAAGAAGUAAAACACGACCAUUAAAAAUAUAUUAGUGACGCUCGUUUUUUUUUCUUUCUUUUUAGCUUGCGGCGUCUAAUUAAACACCAACACACAUCCAGAGCUUUAAUUCAGUCCUGUUACUUAUACUGAAGCGCGAUUUCAUCCCCGUGUGCAUAUUUAAUGAGGAGCAGUGGUGUCAUUCCACCGUCUUACUUUACCAGCUCCGGUGCUACUACAGGUUUAAUCAGUCCCAUGCUAAAAUAUGUAGAGGACGAUCUUAAGGAUUACAUGCCAUCGCUUUGUUUGAUCAAACUUAGUCUGAACUGGAGAGCUGAAUGAGUUACUCCCACAGUCACGUCCAAUUAUGAGGCAUUAUAUAGUCUCUUUAGUAUGAUAUGUACUGUUUGUUUGUUUAUUUCGAAGAGGAAUCUGGAGGGACAAGGUCAGUUAGCGCUGCUUAGCAGGUGAAGCUGUAACAAGGAAACUGGGGUUUAAAAAAACAAAAACAUUUUAAUUAUGCAAAGACAAAACAUCGAGGCAGAAAACACGAGCGUUCGUGGACUACAAAGCGAGCUUGAAUUACAUUCAUCUUUAAGGCUAGUAAAAAAUUUUUUACAUAUCACGACACGUAACCCGAAAAAAUGUAUCAAACCUCACAGUUUUACAUCCAUUCCUGUUAAAUAAUCUUUUCUGCCAGCUUGUAAAACCAUCGUGCUAAUCAUUCAGAGCUGCUAGUGUUCACCAAUCUGUAUUAUGAGCCGUGAAAAAAGGCGUGGGGAGGAUUAAAAAAGGACUUUCAGACAGGCCAAGCUGAAGUUUAUUUAUUCACUUUUAUUUUUCGAUAAUAUUUUUUUUUCUAGCGUGCUAACUUUAUUGAACAUGUCCAAACAAAGCUAGAAAGCUACAUUUAGGAACCCAAUCAAGGUUUGCUGUAUAAUGUUCGAUUUGACUAGCUAAUAAAAUUGACUAGCUAGCAGUAGAGAAUAACCCAAACAAAGGUUAGCUAGAUGAUGUUUAGAAAUUACGUGUCCAAAAAAAAUGCAACGUUAGACGACCCGACAUUUGUAGCCAAAACAAGCUAGCUAGAUAACAGAGACUAUGCCGGACCAAGCUAGCUAAGCAAAUGUUGAAGAAUAGGCCCAAACAUAACAUUAAAAUAAUCCUCAAGCGUAGAUGGAUAGAUAUAUUUUUAAACAUAUAUUUACAUAUUUAAAAGUGUCCCAGAAUAAAGCUGUUUAUUUAAUGAGCUAACGUUAGAAAAUGUCCCAAAGUUAGCGAGCUAAAAUGAGAAAAAUAUCACCACCGUUGUAUUUGGAAAAUAUUCCAAAAUAAAGCUAGCUCUCUAGAGAAUAUUAGAGAAUACCUCAAACAAAGCUAGCCAGCUAACAUUAGAAAACAUCCCCAAGCACAGCUAGCUGCCCUUUAUAUUAGUUAAAAAAACAAGUCCUUAAAAUCAAGCUAGUUUACUAGCUAACAUUAGAAAUUAUUUCCAAGAUUAGCUAGCUAGUCAACUAUUUAAAAUAUUCCCAGCUAGCUAACAUUAAAAUAUGCUGACAGAGCUAGCUAGAUGAUGUCAGAGACUAUGGCCAGG